AUGCGCCGCAUCGUCCGAGCUCUCCGGCCGCUCCAAAAGCUAACCUCUCAUACCACCCAGUUUCCUCUCCCCGUCCACCGCCUCCUCUCCACCUCUUCCUCAUCCUCCUCCUCCGCCGUUGCCGCCUCCUCAGACUCCGACUCCGCCGCCCACGACGCUGAUUUUAACAGCGCUGACUUCUCCCUCCCACCCACGGACCCAUCCCCAGCCUCCGCCGCAGCCGUCCGCAACCCCCUCUCCGCGCUUUGUAAGGUCCGAUUCGACCCCUCCCUCCGCGCACGCGCCGACGAGGCGCUCUUCGGGGAGAAGAAUGCAGGGAUGGGAGUGGAGGACGCGGUGGAGGAAGAGCGGUCGCGGGAGGUGGCGCUCGCGCUGCUUGAGGCCGCCCUGGAGCCGCCCGACGAGGACGAGGAGGGGGGCCCCGAGGAGGUCAGGAAGGAGGACCAGAUGUCGCUCUCCGUCGGGAUCGUCGGUGCGCCCAACGCCGGCAAGUCGUCGUUCACCAACACUGCUGUUGGCUCAAAAGUGGCUGCAGUCUCCCGCAAGACAAAUACAACAACUCAUGAAAUUUUGGGCGUGCUGACAAAAGGGAAAACUCAGAUAUGCUUUUUUGAUACCCCAGGUCUCAUGUUAGGGCACCAUGGGUUUCCUCAUAGGGAUGUCACCGUUCGUGUGGAGAGUGCCUGGAGCUCAGUUAACCUCUAUGAUUUACUAAUAGUAAUGUUUGAUGUCAAUAGGCAUCUGAAAAUGCCUGAUUCCCGAGUAAUAAAGUUAAUCAAACGAUUGGGUGCCGAGGUUGCAAAGGAAUUUGAAGAUCUUCCUGGAUUUGAGCGGUACUUCAUGGUUUCUGGACUAAAAGGCAAAGGAGUGAAGGACCUUGUACAAUACUUGAUGGACCAGGCAGUAAGAAGACCUUGGGACGAGGAACCGGCGACAAUGACUGAAGAAGCAAUGAAAACCAUAUCAUUGGAGGUUGUGCGAGAGAAGAUGCUGGAUCAUAUUCACCAAGAAAUCCCAUAUGUAAUUGAGCAUCGGCUGAUGGAUUGGAAGGAGCUAAAAGACGGUUCUCUUAGGGUGGAACAACACUUUAUUGCACCAAAGCAAAGCCAACGGCAGAUCCUUGUUGGAAAAAAUGGCUCUAAGAUCGGGAGAAUCGGGAUUGAAGCCAAUGAAGAAUUGCGGUCCAUAUUCAAGAGAGAUGUCCAUCUGAUGCUCCAAGUUAGAGUUGCUAAGAAGAGGAGUUCUUGA
rnacentral:rRNA from 1 species